GGGGGCACUGUGGGGGCAAUGGGGGGAGGAAUGGGGGGGGCACUGGGGAGGGCAGUGGGGCGGGGGGGGGGAGCUGCAGAAUGGGGUCAUUGUGGGAAUGGGGGGUGGGGGCAGCACGGUGUCCCCAUAGGGUAUGGGAUGUGGGGACACAUAGAAUGGUGUCCCUAUGGGAAUGGGGUCAUGGGGUACACCUCAAUGUCCCCAUAGGUUGUGGGAUAUGGGGACAGACAGAACAGUGCCCCUAUAGGGAAUGGGGUGUGGGGUACAGCCUAAUGAUCCCAUAGGUUAGGGGAUAUGGGGACAUAUAGAAUGGUGUCCCUAUGGGGAAUGGGGUGUGGGGUACAGAACAGUGUCCCCAUAGGUUAUGGGAUAUGGGGACAGACAGAACAGUGUCCCUAUGGGGAAUGGGGUGUGGGGUACAGCCUAAUGACCCCAUAGGUUAUGGGAUAUGGGGACAUAUAGAAUGGUGACCCUAUGGGAACGGAGCAUGGGGUACAGCCCGGUGUCCCCAUAGGUUAUGGGAUAUGGGGACAGACAGAACAGUGUCCCUAUGCGGAAUGGGGUGUGGGGUACAGCCGAAUGACCCCAUAGGUUAUGGGAUAUGGGGACACACAGAAUGGUGUCCCUAUGAGGAAUGAGUCCCUAUGGGCUCAGUGCUAUAUAUAAC
rnacentral:lncRNA from 1 species